AAACAGUCAUUGUUUUCAAAACUUCCAUCAUCAGAUUUUGUUUUCUCUUUUUAGUCUCUAUUUUGUACUUAUGUGUUGCCUUUCUGUAUCUGCUUAUGUUGAUGGAAUAUUUAUUACUUUCCAAGUCUAAUAGGCUGCCAGAAUUCCUAGAUUUUAUUUCUUUCCCACAUAUGGGCGGCAGUGAAAAUAGAUGGAAAAACUCUUUACUAUAGGCAUAAAAUAAGUGUAAUAAAGUGCUGUCAAGAUUGAAUAGGUUUGCAUAUUAAUCUUACAUGGGUUUUUAUUUUAAUGCUCAUGCUUCUUUCUUUUUUUUCCCCUUUUUUUAUAUUUCAGGCCAUUUAAUAUAGAUAUUCUUUAAUACAUUUCUCUUGUUGUGCUUUACUUUUAUUAACUGCUGUUACAUAGUCACAAGGGGAUUUUAGCAGCCACAGCAGUGCAUUCUAUUUACUAAUAACAGUUACUGUACUCCAUAGGAUUAUUCAGUUAGUUAACUUGGUCAGUUAGUUUAGUAAACUAACUUUAAUUUCAAAUCCCUAACUCCAUGUUCAUGGAAUUAAGGUCCACAUGGUUAUUUCAGGAAGACUGCCUCCCUCAGGUGAGGAAUCUUUCAGUAUUGAUUUUGGGGUUCUAAAGGUAGAAUUUGUUUUGUAUCAUGCUUUGCUUUGGUUCUGUCUUGUACCCUCUCAUCUGCAAUUCUGUUCUGGACUUCUUUCCAUUCUGAAGGGCUUGGCCACUGCAAAUGUUGUACUUUUUUUGGAUAUAAAUACAUGGAUUGUCUACCCAUAGUAUCAUGUGUUGAAGACACCUCUGUGCGUAGCAGUGAGUCACGAAGUGCGCUUGGAGGUCCAGUGCUUGAAGCAGAUACUGCACUUGUGUGGGGGUCUUGCAUUGUAGCUGUGAGGAGCAUGCUUGGUUUUAGACUGGCUUGUAAAGCCAUGCUGUUAAGUUCCUUAUAUUCAAGAGCUUGGUAGGCCUAGAACAGAAAUAAUGUAAUAUGUCAUUGAUUUAGAGAUGUUGUUCAACUCCAGGAAGAAGACAACAUUUGUGGGACUUCAGUAGUGAAACAGUUAAGGGAAAUUUGUUUUCUUUGUAGCCCAAAUGGCUGUUCUCCAGGUCUGAUCAGAGAGCAAGUCCUAAUGGGGAUCUAUUUAGAAGACUGCAGCUAUUAUGUUAGGAAAAGUAGAGAAUUAGAGCCUUUUUGCCUUUCAAGAUGUCAAAAAGUACUUUGUUACUAAAAGCAAUAAAAUUGCUUCAAUGCCUUUUUAAUUAA